GGGUGAGUAACACGUGGGUAACCUGCCCAUCAGAAGGGGAUAACACUUGGAAACAGGUGCUAAUACCGUAUAACAAUCGAAACCGCAUGGUUUUGAUUUGAAAGGCGCUUUCGGGUGUCGCUGAUGGAUGGACCCGCGGUGCAUUAGCUAGUUGGUGAGGUAACGGCUCACCAAGGCCACGAUGCAUAGCCGACCUGAGAGGGUGAUCGGCCACAUUGGGACUGAGACACGGCCCAAACUCCUACGGGAGGCAGCAGUAGGGAAUCUUCGGCAAUGGACGAAAGUCUGACCGAGCAACGCCGCGUGAGUGAAGAAGGUUUUCGGAUCGUAAAACUCUGUUGUUAGAGAAGAACAAGGAUGAGAGUAACUGUUCAUCCCUUGACGGUAUCUAACCAGAAAGCCACGGCUAACUACGUGCCAGCAGCCGCGGUAAUACGUAGGUGGCAAGCGUUGUCCGGAUUUAUUGGGCGUAAAGCGAGCGCAGGCGGUUUCUUAAGUCUGAUGUGAAAGCCCCCGGCUCAACCGGGGA
rnacentral:rRNA from 1 species